rnacentral:rRNA from 1 species
UACGGAGGGGGGCUAGCGUUGUUCGGAAUUACUGGGCGUAAAGCGCGCGUAGGCGGCUUUGUAAGUUAGAGGUGAAAAGCCCCGGAGCUCAACUCCGGAAUUGCCUUUUAAGACUGCAUCGCUUGAAUCCGGGGAGAGGUGAGUGGAAUUCCGAGUGUAGAGGUGAAAAUUCGUAGAUAUUCGGAAGAACACCAGUGGCGAAGGCGGCUCACUGG